UACGAGGGGGGCAAGUGUUGUUCGGAAUCACUGGGCUUAAAGCGCGUGUAGGCGGGAGGGAACGUCGGCCGCUGAAAUCCCCCGGCUUAACCGGGGAAGGGGCGCCGAUACGGCCUUCCUGGAGGGACGUAGGGGGAGCUGGAACUUCCGGUGGAGCGGUGAAAUGCGUUGAGAUCGGAAGGAACGCCCGCGGCGAAAGCGAGCUCCUGGACGUCUGCUGACGCUGAGACGCGAAAGCCAGGGGAGCGAACGGG
rnacentral:rRNA from 1 species